rnacentral:rRNA from 1 species
UACGGAGGGUGCGAGCGUUGUCCGGAAUCACUGGGCGUAAAGCGUGCGCAGGCGGCUUUGCAAGACAGAUGUGAAAUCCCCGGGCUUAACCUGGGAACUGCAUUUGUGACUGCAUGGCUAGAGUGCGGCAGAGGGGGGAUGGAAUUCCGCGUGUAGCAGUGAAAUGCGUAGAUAUGCGGAGGAACACCGAUGGCGAAGGCAAUCCCCCUGGGCCUGCACUGACGCUCAUGCACGAAAGCGUGGGGAGCAAACAGG